GACGAACGCUGGCGGCGUGCUUAACACAUGCAAGUCGAACGAGAGGAGAAGGAAGCUUGCUUCUUUCGAAUCUAGUGGCAAACGGGUGAGUAACACGUAAACAACCUGCCUUCAGGAUGGGGACAACAGACGGAAACGACUGCUAAUACCGAAUACGUUCCUUAGGUCGCAUGACUUAGGGAAGAAAGGGUGGCCUCUACUUGUAAGCUAUCGCCUGAAGAGGGGUUUGCGUCUGAUUAGGUAGUUGGUGAGGUAACGGCCCACCCAGCCGACGAUCAGUAGCCGGUCUGAGAGGAUGAACGGCCACACUGGAACUGAGGCACGGUCCAGGCUCCUACGGGAGGCAGCAGUGGGGAAUCUUCCGCAAUGGGCGAAAGCCUGACGGAGCAACGCUGCGUGAGUGAUGACGGCCUUCGGGUUGUAAAGCUCUGUGAUCGGGGACGAACGGUCAGCAGACGAAUACUCUGCUGAAGUGACGGUACCCGAAUAGCAAGCCACGGCUAACUACGUGCCAGCCGCCGCGGUAA
rnacentral:rRNA from 1 species